rnacentral:lncRNA from 1 species
GUCAUAUACAUAAAGUGAUCAAUUUCUUUUCAAUUUAUUACAUGCAAAAGGUUGCAAUAUAUGGCUAAACUUAUGAAGUAUUUUUUUGUUAUAUUCCACCUCUUUUCCCUAUUUAUUGUUGCAAUGAAUGUUGAAGGUAAACCAAUUUAUUUUUAAAUUUUUUCUUAUUUACAUAAUCUUAUAGCUCCUUUAAUUAGUAAUAUAUUCUUAUGUUUUAUUUUUUUCUCGUUAUAGAAAUUAUUCCUUGUGUCGAUAACUCUGAAUGUCAUAAGAAAAUGUAUUGCAAGCUUCCUAAACUUCCACGGUGUAUGGCUCACAUAUGCAAAUGUUGUAAGCCAGGUAUUCCCUUUAUUAGUUAGAGUACAAGACCAAAGUCAGUGCACAUACAUUCUACAGAGAAGAAUGACUUCUUACACUAUAAAAAGAUCUAAGAAAUAGUAAUGUUAGUGAAUUUCUGUUUACCUCUCCUGUAAUAUUUUUUUUCGAUUACACUCCUAUAAUGUUAAAAUGUGGCUUUGAUACGCUCCCAAUUGUGCACAAGUAUAUCCCAUUGACUUUUUUUUACUAAAAUUGAUUAUGUGUCAUUUUAAAGUUUUUAAAAUUUUAAAAUAAAUAAAAUAUGGUUUUAAAAUUAAAAAUAUGUUUUAAAAUUAAAAAAACAUUUAUAAAAUAAAAAUAUUUGUUUUAAUAAAAUGUAUUUUUUUAAUAAAAGGUUUAGUAAUGAUUGUUUUUUAAAAAAUUAGGCUGGAGGGAGUAGUUCAUAAAAAAAAUGUGUAAACUAUUUUUGUAUAGCAAAAUUAUUUUAUAAACUACAUAUAACAAGAAAAGUUAUUAUAUAAGUCACUUUUUUUUUAUAAAAAAAAUCAUUUAUUUUAAUUUUUUAAUUUUAAAAUGCAACAUAAGCAAUUUUUAGUCAAAAAAGUAAACGGCGGCUAGCAAAUAUAAAAAGGAUAAACUUGAGGGGUUAAAAAACUGAGCAAUGAAAUUUGGGGGGCUAAAAUCAAACAGUUGUAAAACUUAUGGGGUUAAAAUUUACACAAUUGAAACUUGGAGGGCCAAAAUCACACAAUUGUAAAACUUGGGGGUCAAAAUCGCAUUUAAGCCUAAUAUAAAUAUGGGAAAAAAUUCCAUCUAAUUUGUUCAUCAAUUUAGAACAAACUUUUGCGAUGCAAUCACCCCUAUCUAGCCUAUUUAAGAAAAAAAAUAAAAUUAAAUAUGAUGUAGGUUAAGUUGUAGGCCACUUGACCGGUUUUCACCACUAUUUGGAAGCCUACACCUCAAGGUUUUAAUAAAUGCAAUGUUUCACGUUGAUGUCUUUAUGGGCCUUGGACGUAUUAAAAUGUAAAGUAUAUUGCUACCCGAAUUGAGUGGAUGCCUUACUGUCUUUAGAAAACAAAAGGUGAAGUCUUGGGUCUUCUUUCAUUAUGCUCUCUAGUGGGUGAGGGACAUGGAACAUCAACAAGACAUCUAUGAAAUUGAUUGUGUGAUAGUAGCAAAUUAUACACACCAUCCAUCUUCAAACAUUACUUCAGCAGCAUUAUUUUCAUUCUUGCAUUACAAUUUUUGUCAAACUUUGCCGACUUUAAUGUAAGUUGUGUGUUGGCGACAAGUGAAUAGUGUAGCUCAUAUUUUGAUAAG